GACGAACGCUGGCGGCGUGCUUAACACAUGCAAGUCGAACGGAAAGGCCCUGCUUUUGUGGGGUGCUCGAGUGGCGAACGGGUGAGUAACACGUGAGUAACCUGCCCUUGACUUUGGGAUAACUUCAGGAAACUGGGGCUAAUACCGGAUAGGAGCUCCUGCUGCAUGGUGGGGGUGGAAAGUUUCGGCGGUUGGGGAUGGACUCGCGGCUUAUCAGCUUGUUGGUGGGGUAGUGGCUUACCAAGGCUUUGACGGGUAGCCGGCCUGAGAGGGUGACCGGCCACAUUGGGACUGAGAUACGGCCCAGACUCCUACGGGAGGCAGCAGUGGGGAAUGUUGCACAAUGGGCGGAAGCCUGAUGCAGCAACGCCGCGUGCGGGAUGACGGCCUUCGGGUUGUAAACCGCUUUCGCCUGUGACGAAGCGUGAGUGACGGUAAUGGGUAAAGAAGCACCGGCUAACUACGUG
rnacentral:rRNA from 1 species